CACAGCCCGUCCCGGAAUUAUAAACUCCGAGGACGUGAAAUUACAGAAACGCCCUUAAACGAGAUUAAGGGUCCUACCUCCUGAAAUCCUUCCCCAUUUCCCGUUUUGUUGUCUCCUUCUCUCUCUCUUCCUCAUCUCUCCCUCAGUCACUCUCACACUCCCUCAUUCUCUCUCAAACUCUCGGACAAACACCAAGGCUCUCGAAAACUUCACAGUUUCAGGAUGAGGAAGGUACCAUCAUGUUCGUGAGGACCAUACGAACACAUUGGUAUUGUUUUCAGGCCAAACUAAGAUCAUAGGGAGCUCUAGGAGGUUCCCACGAAGCUCGGAGUGCUUCGUUGGAAGUUUUUGGACGUAAGAACACGGAGAUCGACAAGUUCAAAGUUUGGCCGGAGCUUUCGAGGCGUUUUCCGGCGAAUCCCCGGCGAGUUAGGCGUCAAGGUAGGUAUCAAUCUCUUCGUCUCGUCAAGUACUACAACUUUCCUUUUUGUUUCACUCAAUUUCGUUGAGUAUUGAAGAAGUUAUACUCAUUUGAAAAAUACCCAGUUUCCGGCGACCUCCGAGGCUUUCGAGGCAGUUUCCGGCCAAACCACGGCGAACUAGGUGUUGUGCAAGGUACCAUUCUCUUUGUCUCUUCAAGGGCUACAACUUUCGUUUUUGAAGCACUUGAUUUCGUUGAGAAAUGACAAAGUUAUGGCAAUUUGAAAAACUGUUCAGAAAACGGCCGCCGGAAAAACCAGUCCGGCGACCCAAGGAAGAAGAAGGUGCUACAGUAAAAAAUAAAAAUAAAAAUAAAAUUAUUUU